rnacentral:rRNA from 1 species
UACAGAGGGUGCGAGCGUUAAUCGGAAUUACUGGGCGUAAAGCGUGCGUACGGUUAUUUAAGUCAGAUGUGAAAGCCCCGGGCUCAACCUGGGAAUUGCAUUUGAGACUGAAUAGCUAGGGUGCGGUAGAGGGAAGCGGAAUUUCCGGUGUAGCGGUGAAAUGCGUAGAUAUCGGAAGGAACAUCAGUGGCGAAAGCGACUUCCUGGACCAAUACUGACGCUCAUGUGCGAAAGCGUGGGGAGCAAACAGG